AUUGAACGCUGGCGGCAUGCCUUACACAUGCAAGUCGAACGGCAGCACGGGUGCUUGCACCGGUGGCGAGUGGCGAACGGGUGAGUAAUGCAUCGGAACGUACCCUGGAGUGGGGGAUAACUAUCCGAAAGGAUAGCUAAUACCGCAUAUUCUAUGAGUAGGAAAGCGGGGGAUCUUCGGACCUCGCGCUCUGGGAGCGGCCGAUGUCAGAUUAGCUAGUUGGUGGGGUAAAGGCCUACCAAGGCUACGAUCUGUAGCGGGUCUGAGAGGAUGAUCCGCCACACUGGGACUGAGACACGGCCCAGACUCCUACGGGAGGCAGCAGUGGGGAAUUUUGGACAAUGGGGGCAACCCUGAUCCAGCCAUGCCGCGUGAGUGAAGAAGGCCUUCGGGUUGUAAAGCUCUUUCGGCCGGGAAGAAAUCGCCAUCUCUAAUAUAGGUGGUGGAUGACGGUACCGGAAUAAGAAGCACCGGCUAACUACGUGCCAGCAGCCGCGGUAAUACGUAGGGUGCGAGCGUUAAUCGGAAUUACUGGGCGUAAAGCGUGCGCAGGCGGUUUUUUAAGAUAGGCGUGAAAUCCCCGGGCUUAACCUGGGAACUGCGCUUAUGACUGGAAGACUAGAGUACGGCAGAGGGGGGUGGAAUUCCACGUGUAGCAGUGAAAUGCGUAGAGAUGUGGAGGAACACCGAUGGCGAAGGCAGCCCCCUGGGCCGAUACUGACGCUCAUGCACGAAAGCGUGGGGAGCAAACAGG
rnacentral:rRNA from 1 species